UUAUGCACAGCAGAAGUGACCUCCCUGGUGAGUUUGAUUACAGGUGCGGACUAUCGUUGUCAGGGGACGGCUGUACGGUGUCAGUGUUUGACCUGCGAGAAGCACAGGAUGUCUGCGACUCAGAGGAAUCUUGUCGAGGUUUUGUGUGGACGCAGUCUAAAACAUGGGCAGGUCGAACCAUUAUUCAUCUAAAAAAUGGAUUUAAUUUCACCACGGAAAAUCAGAACACUGACCUAUAUUUGAAACACUUAUAGCAUCCAAAGAGAAGCAACCGUGACAAUAUUUUUAUUUUAAAAACAUAGGCAGAGUUACCUGCCUUUAGCAUUGCUUAACAUUACCACGAAGAUAAUCGUACUUGUUUUGCUCCAAACAAAAUCUUCACAUGUUACUGUGAUAUGUUACUGAAUAAUGUUUAUUUUUUUUUAAAAACUUCAAAGAAACCCAGAAUCCGAAGACUCCUGUUUUGUUCAGAAAAAAAAAGUUAAAUAUAUUUGAUUUACGAUUUCUGUUUAACAAUAAUCGAUUUCCUUCACCUGUAUAUUGAAAAAAUAUUUGCGACUCAGAGACCCAACGAGUCCUUCAAAUUCCUGAAAAACAUCCAGAUGCACACUAUAAAGGGACUCCAGAAAGCUUUUGUAAACCUCAGCAACAACUGUUCUCCCAGCUCACAUUGAAUUAGAAGACAAUGAAAGAGCAUACAUAUUGGCCAAGGAUGGAAGAACAAACAAACAAAUGGAAAUCCCUCUCUACCCUAAGAAAUUAAAUGUUAAAAUAAAAAUUUUAAGAGUGUAGAAUACAUGAUAAAUGGAGCAGUAGAAACAAUAUCUUUAGAAGAAAUUUCCAUGGUCACAAUAGGUCCUUGUUUUUUUGUUGUUUUUUUUUUUGUGUUUUUGUUUUUUCAGUUCAUCGACAUUUUGUCCCUAUUGAGACCAUGUGAAUACAUUUUGUUAACUCCAAGCUCAAACUUGUUGGUGUCUUAAUGAAGAUGAAUGUAUCUUUACAAUUAACAAACAUCUGACAAGUCUUGGCAUAAUUGUGGGCCAGCGAAAAGAUUCUUUAUCUCAGUUGUCAAAAGUGUUAGACCCAUCAUUUUAAAACAUAAACAAGGAUCAUGUCAGCACUUCGGAUCCAAUAAUCCCUGCUGUAUUUACUUCGUAGAGGAAAAAAUCCUUGAAAGAAAAUUAGGGCACGCAUGGCCUAAACUGUGUCAGUGUGCCAUCACAUAUAAUCUUGUUCUUGUUGGUUUCUCACUGCUGUUAUUAUGGAUGAUUAAUCAAUUGGUUAUUCUGUGAUUGAUGGAUGAGUGUUUAUUCUGCUGCUGUCAUUGAUGUGAGACUUUCCCUUGUGCUAAUGGUAUUGAUGUGUGAUUGCUUAUUCUACUGCUGUGAUAAUGUCACAAAUUAACUUUGGAAUGUUUACAUUUUUUUGUUGUUGAGAUUUUGAAAAUGUUAUGCAAAUAAAAACGUGAGAUAUGUAAACUUCACACGACUAGAUCAUUCCAAUAACAUCCAUUUUUUUUCACUUCUUAUAAUAUAUUUGCCCUAUCUAUGUAUUUAGCUUUUUUUCCCGUUGUGCAAUUGGUAAAAUUCUGCUGAUGGUUAGUAUAUAUUUUUAUCAUGACAAUAUUUUGAUUAGGAUCUAUAGGCAUGUAAAAUAUUUUAGUAUUGAGCGAUAUGAAUAAUAAAAAUUAAUUUAUCAGAA
rnacentral:sRNA from 1 species